rnacentral:misc_RNA from 1 species
GAUAUGAUGGUCAUGUGUCAUUCAAAAGAUAGUGAGGUUAGAGGUGAAUUCCUUGCAAAUUUCCAGCUCUUUUCUGUGGUCAUUGGAGUUCUUGGUGGAGUCGUCGGAGUUUACUGCUUUGCAGCAUCGAAGUACGGUCGAUCCGACCUUGGAAGUUCGAAUGCCAUCCAAGACUAGAUUAUUUCCGGGUAUGUCUGCAUCAAAAUUUCAUCUCUUUGUAGGAUUCUUU